GCCUGUGUGGCUCAGUGGUAGAGCAUCUGUCUUGUAAACAGAAGGUCCCCGGUU
rnacentral:tRNA from 1 species